GCCGGGGUGCCCGAGCGGACUAAGGGGGUGGGCUCGAGACCCACUGCCUCUCUGAGGCGCACGGGUUCGAAUCCCGUCCCCGGCG
rnacentral:tRNA from 7 species